rnacentral:misc_RNA from 1 species
AGAUUUUGAACAGGAGUUGUUUACAUGGGACAAGCAAGAGGCAGCUGUCAGCGGCGGACGGCAGGACUCGUCAAGCUCUAAGAGGCCGAUAUUACAGGCUACAGCUGCACACAGCCGGACCUACUGGACAGCUGCGACCUCAACCGCGGGCAGGGCAAGAAUUAGAGAUGAUGUCGAGGUCGCUGAGGGCGGAGACGCGGUCUAGGGGCAAGGAGGAGACGAAGCGCUCCAUGCAAGCCUUGGAUAAAGUCCGCAGAUGGGAGAAGAAGUGGAUAACCAUUCAUGAUACUACAAUGAAGAUCUACAAGUGGGUUCCUAUUGUCACAGAUGAACGAAAGAAGAAGAGUGGAAGCAGCGCAAACAAAGAAAAUCGUAUGUGCAGCCGAGACAGCAGCAUGUCAGCAUUUCAGAUGGGAGGGGAUGAUUCCAAUACAGCCAUGUCGAUGAUGAGCGACUCGCAGGAUGCCACCGACUUCUCGUCCACCCAAUUCAACAUCUCGGAAGACUCCAAUUCUGAACCACCAUUUAAAAAGAAGUUGUUGGAAGGUUGAGGGAAAGUUCCUUCAUUAGUCACUGAAAAAGAAACAACAAAAAGUGUAUCACUAGACAGUGUUGGAACUAGAAAAGGGAAACUCUGUAUUGCAAGGCACUAAAAUUCCAGCUGAAUACUGUAUGUGGAACUGUAGCAGUAGUGGCUAUUUUCCCUGUUUGUUUUUUUAAGUUACAUGUAACAGUAUUUAGCUAUGUUUAGAUCUUUUCUAAUGACAAUAAAAACCACUCACCUAAUUUUUAAACUAUGGGAAUGGUCAUGCUUGGUGUCCACUGAAUGCACAAACAAAUUAUUUAAAUUAUUGUUCUUAUGAAAUCAUAUAUCUGUGUGGAAAUGGAAAUAUACAAAAAUAGUGCAACUCCCUAUUGUCCUAGUGAUGUCUACAUGGUGGAUCAUCACGUGAUCUUCUAUUCAAUGCAUACAACAAUUUUAUUCAUAUGAAAUAAGAGAGAUUUAAAAUGAAGAACACAAAAUGACAGUACAUUACUGUAUCUACCCGUGUCUAGGCCUAAUGAAGGGUGUGAUUUCACUCUUGAGAUUUUAUUUUGGCACUAUAGUACUGUAGUUUUCAUGAUAUGAGAGGCUAGAGUGGGAAGCACAUGUACCUCUCAUCACUGUGGUAGAGGUAUGUAAAGUGGGAAGCGGUGGUCUUCAGUGACUGCUGGACAACACCAUGACACUAGUGAGUACCUCGGUAUUCAACUGGCACUGCACAAAUUAAAAUGUGUGUGUGUGUUGCAACCCGUGACUUGCACAGGAAUUGUUCACAUGAGACGAGCCAUUAUUGAAGGGUUUUAGGCCGAGGUAUUCCACUUUAGGGUGAAAGAGUAACUUAUUAGUUUCUGUGAUUACUAAUGUUCUGGUCCAGUAUUUUGAAAUCUCUGUAGCACAUGCUUUUAAAGUCUAAAAAUCUGCCUUGUAUCCAUUAUGAUUUGUUGUGCUCUUGUUAGUACUAUAUAGGUUCACUUUGUGCUUGCCAUGGGUUACAUUUGUUUAAUCCUCGACCAUUUCAGAAUGGCUAAUAUCUUUCACUUGCCGUGAAGUAGUAUAUUCUGUCACAAAAAAAAUGUUGUAACCAUAAAUAAAAAUAAAAUAAAAA